rnacentral:rRNA from 1 species
CCUACGGGGUGCUGCAGUGGGGAAUAUUGGACAAUGGGCGAAAGCCUGAUCCAGCCAUGCCGCGUGUGUGAAGAAGGCCUUCGGGUUGUAAAGCACUUUCAGUGGGGAAGAAAGCCUUGGGGCUAAUACCCUCGAGGAAGGACAUCACCCACAGAAGAAGCACCGGCUAACUCCGUGCCAGCAGCCGCGGUAAUACGGAGGGUGCGAGCGUUAAUCGGAAUUACUGGGCGUAAAGCGCGCGUAGGCGGUCUGAUAAGCCGGUUGUGAAAGCCCCGGGCUCAACCUGGGAACGGCAUCCGGAACUGUCAGGCUGGAGUGCAGGAGAGGAAGGUAGAAUUCCCGGUGUAGCGGUGAAAUGCGUAGAGAUCGGGAGGAAUACCAGUGGCGAAGGCGGCCUUCUGGACUGACACUGACGCUGAGGUGCGAAAGCGUGGGUAGCAAACAGGAUUAGAUACCCCUGUAGUC